GACGAACGCUGGCGGCGUGCUUAACACAUGCAAGUCGAACGGAAAGGCCCUGCUUUUGUGGGGUGCUCGAGUGGCGAACGGGUGAGUAACACGUGAGUAACCUGCCCUUGACUUUGGGAUAACUUCAGGAAACUGGGGCUAAUACUGGAUAGGAGCUCCUGCUGCAUGGUGGGGGUUGGAAAGUCUCGGCGGUUGGGGAUGGACUCGCGGCUUAUCAGCUUGUUGGUGGGGUAGUGGCUUACCAAGGCUUUGACGGGUAGCCGGCCUGAGAGGGUGACCGGCCACAUUGGGACUGAGAUACGGCCCAGACUCCUACGGGAGGCAGCAGUGGGGAAUAUUGCACAAUGGGCGGAAGCCUGAUGCAGCAACGCCGCGUGCGGGAUGACGGCCUUCGGGUUGUAAACCGCUUUCGCCUGUGACGAAGCGUGAGUGACGGUAAUGGGUAAAGAAGCACCGGCUAACUACGUG
rnacentral:rRNA from 1 species